GGGGAGGUCGCUGGCUACGUCACUUGAGGUUGACCGGCUGUGUUACCUGAUUUUUAGGUCAGUGUGAGCUUGGAGUUGUGUGAAUAAACAGCCAAUGUGUGAGUGAGGGAUAUACCUCUCCAGCAGCUUCAGCCAUUUCCAGAGCAGUUAGGAAGUGGCUGGAUCCGGAUGAAAUGACAGCAGCAGUCUGCUAGCGCUGUGUCUUCAGGUAUGAGUGUUACUGGGUCCAAGAAGCUAGUCUGUAAAAAGUCAUCGUUUGGGAGGAAGAGGAGAGGCCUGGAGCUGAGAGUUCCCCCUGUAAUCACAACUUGGAAAGCACCUGGAGCAUGGGAGGUAAUUACGCUUGAUCCGAGGAAGAGGAGGGACAAUCCUUGGAUCAAGAGCACCUCACCUCACGAUGUACCCCUUUGAAGGGAUUAUCUUCUCCAUUAUCCCACAUACCAUACAUGACUCCUGUUUCAACGCUCCCUUCCAGUCCCUUGCUAGGGAUACAGUUACCGCGUUUAUUCUUGUGCUUUCUAAUGUUAAGCUUCAGCUCUUGGUCCUUGCUGCAUAUGCAUGCGGUUUUGAAGAUGUAUGUGCGUCCAUGUAGGUUUUAAAGGCAUAAAGCUACGCAUUUCUGCUGUAUACGUGGCUACGUGGGCAUUGAAGACGUCGGUAUUUAUGUGGUGGUGGUUGAGUUUGAGCAUCUGGUCCUGUUUCAUGAUCCCUGACCUCUUGGGCAGUGAAGGGGUGGAGAGGUGCAUAAGAGAUGAAUGGACGGGUGGAGAGACGAAUAUUUUUAGGUAUGGAAGAAAGAGAGAGAGGGAGGGAGGGAGGAAGGAAAUAAAUAAAUAUUUGGAGGAAGGAGUGGGUAGAGGUAUGAAAGGAUGACGAGAUGAAAAGGUGGAGAGAGAAAGGAAUGGAUAAGGUAGAAGGUUGGAAGAUAGCGCUGGAAAGAAUUAUCUCCCGCUCCCCUCCCACCUGCCCUGGAAUGCUCUCCCUGCCCCUGUUUACUCUCCCUCCCGCCUCUGUAAAACUCUCCCUCCCGCCUCUGUGUAUGCUCCCUCCCGCCUUUGUAUACUCUCCCUCCCGCCUCUGUGUACUCUCCCUCCCGCCUCUGUGUACUCUCCUUUCAGUGAAACACGACAAAAACUCGGUUAUAAUACAAAUCCAGCGAGGGAUCAAAGCUGUCACUGGACUGGAAGGAUAAUUUUGAUUUACAAACCUUGUUGAUGUGCUCGGCUUGUCUAAAUUCAGAGAGAACCUGAAUAAUAGGAGAGAGCCCACAUAGUAGGAGAGAGUCUGAAGAGAACCCACAUACUAGAAGAGAACCUGCAUAAGAGGAGACAACCCGCUUAACAUGAUAGAAAAAACACUUAUAUCAGUCAAUAUUUAGCUUUGGCGGCGAUGCAAAGCUCCGAUGACGUUAAAAUGUAAACUUGAUAAUUUAACAUAAAUUUUACUGCAUAACAACUACGAAGACGGGGGAGGGGGUUAAAUUGAAUGAUAGCCCUAGGCCUUUCGUGGUGCAAUCAACACAUCAGGAGCUUGCAAUGCUGCAAAGAGGAGGAGGAAGCCACAGCAAAUACUUUAAAAUUAAACCUAUGUAGAGGUUGUAUAAUGUAUUAUGACUGAUGUUUUUUUUACGGAUGUGGGAGAGAAUAAAAACCAUUAUUCUGUUGUAUUCUUAAUCUUGCAUUCAUUAAUCGUAUACUU